rnacentral:ncRNA from 1 species
UAAGGGGUGCUCGCUCGUUUGGGCGGUGCUGAGAAUAUACCCGAGAACCUGAUGCGGAUAAUGCCGACGUAGGGAUUUUU